rnacentral:tRNA from 1 species
GAGGGUAUAGCUCAGUGGUGGAGCAUGUGCUUAGCAUGCGCAAGGUCCUGGGUUCAAUCCCCAGUACCUCCA